AGAAUCGACGCUGGCGGCGUGCCUAACACAUGCAAGUCGAGCGCGAAAGGGGGGUAACUCCCCGAGUAGAGCGGCGAACGGGUGAGUAACGCGUGGGUCAUCUACCUUCGAGUGGGGAAUAACAGCGGGAAACUGCUGCUAAUACCGCAUGACAUCGCUGGGCCUUCGGGCCUGACGAUCAAAGCCGGGGACCGCAAGGCCUGGCGCUUGAAGAUGAGCCCGCGUCCGAUUAGCUAGUUGGCGGGGUAAUGGCCCACCAAGGCUUCGAUCGGUA
rnacentral:rRNA from 1 species